rnacentral:rRNA from 1 species
AAACUCAAAGGAAUUGACGGGGACCCGCACAAGCGGUGGAGCAUGUGGUUUAAUUCGAUGCAACGCGAAGAACCUUACCUGGUCUUGACAUACACGGAACUUUCCAGAGAUGGAUUGGUGCCUUCGGGAACCGUGAUACAGGUGCUGCAUGGCUGUCGUCGGCUCGUGUCGUGAGAUGUUGGGUUAAGUCCCGUAACGAGCGCAACCCUUAUCCUUAUUUGCCAGCACAUCAUGGUGGGAACUAUAAGGAGACUGCCGGUGAUAAACCGGAGGAAGGCGGGGACGACGUCAAGUCAUCAUGGCCCUUACGACCAGGGCUACACACGUGCUACAAUGGGAAGGACAAAGGGUUGCUAAGCCGCGAGGUGGUGCUAAUCUCAUAAAUCUUUUCGUAGUCCGGAUCGGAGUCUGCAACUCGACUCCGUGAAGUCGGAAUCGCUAGUAAUCGUGGAUCAGAAUGCCACGGUGAAUACGUUCCCGGGUCUUGUACACACCGCCCGUCAUACCAUGGGAGUGGGUUGCAAAAGAAGUGGGUAGCUUAUCUGGGCGCUCACCACUUUGUGAUUCAUGACUGGGGUAAAGUCGUAACAAGGUA